GGAUCCAUAAGCUCAAAAAUGGUAGAGCGCUCAAUUGACUUUUGAGAGGAUGGUGGUUCGAGCCCACCUGGGUCCC